UGAACCAGCGGAGGGAUCAUUACCGAGUACAACUCGCCAACCCACUGUGAACAUACCACUGUUGCUUCGGCGGACCCGCCCCGGCGCCCUCGGGCCCGGACCAGGCGCCCGCCGGAGGACCCCAAACCACUGAAUUACCAUGUGUAUCUUCUGAGCAAAGGCGAAAGCCGAAAAUGAAUUAAAACUUUCAACAACGGAUCUCUUGGUUCUGGCAUCGAUGAAGAACGCAGCGAAAUGCGAUAAGUAAUGUGAAUUGCAGAGCUCAGUGAACCAUCGAAUUUUUGAACGCACAUUGCGCCCGCCAGCACUCUGGCGGGCAUGCCUGUCCGAGCGUCAUUUCAACCCCUCGGGCCCCCCUAACGGGGCGGCCCGGUGUUGGGGAUCGCCCGCCCCCCGCGGCGGGCGUCCCCUAAAUACAGUGGCGGACCUUCCGCGCCUCCCCUGCGUAGUACUGCACCUCGCACCGGAGCGCGCUGGGGCCCUGCCGUAAAACCCCCCAAUUCUCAAGGUUGACCUCGGAUCAGGUAGGAAUACCCGCUGAACUUAAGCAUAUCAAUAAGGCGGAGGA
rnacentral:rRNA from 1 species